CAGGGUUUAAGGAAAAUGGUUGCAGCGGGAUUCACGGGGAUUUGGCAGCCGAUUUUGAGGGAUUAUGUUAUUAAUGUAAUGUAUAACAUAUAUAUAUAUAUAUAUCUACGUUCGUCCAUGGCUGCCUAUAAAUAGGCAAGAAGAUCGGUCGAUUGAGGAGCACCAAAGCAAGGGAGAUCGAGAGAGAGAGAGAGAGAAAUCGGGUGAGAGAGUGAGUGGCCGAGGAAUGGCCAUUUCCAGCAACCAUGGCCAAGAAGCAAAGCUUCGAUGCUCGGCCAUGGUGGUCAGGAAGGAGGAGCAGCAGGGGAAAGGCGCAACGGAGGAUGGCGGUAAGGUCCGGACGGCUUGCGGUGGCGCAAGGAAGCAACGGAAGUGACCGUUGCAGCAGCGAACGGCCAUGGCAGCAAGCUCAGCGUGGCCAUGGCCGACGCGCAGUGAACAGAGCCGCGAGCAGCGGCUGGGCGCGGCCGGCGGUGCUGCGCGAGCAGCCUCCAGCGAGGUCGGGGGCCGGUGCGAGGCCGGGGGGAGGCGCUAGCAGCGGCGAAGGCGUCGGCAAGGAGGCUGGAGACCUCGGCAGCAGCUGGUUCGAUCGGCCAUGGCAGCCAUGGCCGAUGCGCAGCAAGUUGCUGCGAUGGCGGCAGCAGUCGCGGCGGAGGGCGGUGGUGCGUGGCGCCCGGGUCCGAGAGGCCGAGGCGGCCGGCGGCGGAGGGCCGAGUGGUAGUUCGCGGUGGCGGCCGCGGCGGCUGGAGCGCGCGGGAGCUGUAGGCGCGGUGCAGAGGAAGAAGAAGGAGGAGAAGGGAAAAAGAAAAAGAAGAAAGAAAAGAAAAAGAAAGAAAAAGAAAGAAAAGGAAAAGAAAGAAAAGAAAAGAAAGAAAAAGAAGAAAAAAAGAAAAGGAAAUUGGGAAAAAUGUUGAAAAGUCCUAGAAAAAUCCCAAAAAAUAGGUAAUGAAGAUGUAAUGACAUCCCGGAGAUUUGGAUGAGAAAACGAGCCGAGCACGCUUUUCGAGAAUACGACACGCAUACCGAGGAAACCGGAGAUGCUAAGUUAAGGAUACUUUGAGGCUGAAUUUGAAGAGACUCGCGCAAAUUUUGAGGUUGACACGUAAAUCGAGGCAAGACACGGAUAUCGAGGUAGCCCGAUAAGCUCUAAAAAUCAGGACUUGCAGAGAUGAUUCCGAGAUUGGUGAGAUGUAGUGACGCGAGACGUCGAGAGGCGAGUAAAUGUACCAUGUUAUGUUGUAAUAUGAGUAGUUUAAGAAUUAUGUACAUUGUAUUUAUUGUCAGACGCUUAUAAAUUAACUUUGUAAUGAAUGUCAUGUCUAGUAUGAGCAGGUUCGAUUCAGCUUCCGCUUUGUAAAUCGUAUUUAUCUCUGGUGUGUAAAUUAAACACUAGAUAGGCCUUAGGGAAUUUUGGGAUAAUAAUAAAAAAAAAGACCCAAUUUUCCUAAGGUAUAACACGCCCGAGAAAGUGGGCUGUUACACCCUGGAUCCUUAAGCUUUUGUGGCAACUUGUUUUGCACAAUGGCAGAGCACUCUUCACUCAGCUUGACUGUCUCAA